rnacentral:rRNA from 1 species
UACGAAGGGGGCUAGCGUUGUUCGGAAUUACUGGGCGUAAAGCGCGCGCAGGCGGUUCUCCAAGUCAGUGGUGAAAGCCCGGAGCUCAACUCCGGAACUGCCAUUGAAACUGUUGAACUUGAGGACGAGAGAGGUGAGUGGAAUUCCCAGUGUAGAGGUGAAAUUCGUAGAUAUUGGGAAGAACACCGGUGGCGAAGGCGGCUCACUGGCUCGGUAUCUGACGCUCAGGCGCGAUAGCGUGGGGAUCAAACAGGG